rnacentral:rRNA from 1 species
GAUGAACGCUAGCGGGAGGCUUAACACAUGCAAGUCGAGGGGCAGCACGGGGUAGCAAUACUCUGGUGGCGACCGGCGCACGGGUGAGUAACACGUAUGCAACCUACCCUGUACAGGGGGAUAACCCGGAGAAAUUCGGAUUAAUACCCCAUAAAGAUAUUUAGAGGCAUCUUUAGAUAUUUAAAGUUUCGACGGUACGGGAUGGGCAUGCGUAAGAUUAGCUAGUUGGUAGGGUAACGGCCUACCAAGGCUCCGAUCUUUAGGGGUCCUGAGAGGGUGAUCCCCCACACUGGUACUGAGACACGGACCAGACUCCUACGGGUGCUG